rnacentral:lncRNA from 1 species
CAUUCUUUCCUGGCAGAGCCGAAGUCACAAUUUUUUUGUAGACUCUAAAGAGCUUUACCCUUCCGAGAUAUGAUCUUGAACCUGUUGGAGCAUUUGGACGCAUUUCUUUUAAGGAAGUUCACCUCCAGAUGUGCUCAGAGGGCCUGGUCUUAGCUGCCACAGAUUUACAAAUUCUUACAGACGCAAGGAUUGAGAACAAUGGACUUUUUGAUGUGUGUUGCAACAAACGCAUAGCCGAGGGUUGUAAAUCGGAGGGAUCACCAGGUCUGCCUACCAGCCACCAGGCAAGUGGGGAGAAGCUGUCACCCCAACUUGAGUUUCAAGAAGACUCCUUGGAAGAAAAGACCACCAAAUUGAGAAUGAAAAGGUAAGAAAUAGUUCACCAGCUGAGGGAGGCUACAGAGAGCAGGCCACCCAUGAGCCUCAGGGACAGCAGCACAGGCAGGUUGUCAAAGUCACAAGGGGACAUGAAGACACAGACCCAGGACAGCAGCCCUUAAUCCAAAAUGAUCUCAAGACUCCUUUACACUCUGAAAAAUUAACCCAUUUAUGCCUGAGGUUACAAUUUUUUUUGUAAAAAUCAGACCUUGGCAAUGACCUUGAGCUGUAGGAUAUAAAUGACUCCCACAAGCUUAGGAUUCCAAUAAUGGAACACUAGGCACAAUUGGGUUUUAAUGAGGACCCAAAUAGCUUUUGAUUAUGUGGGCUUUUUUUUUGCCUGUGUAGGUACCUGUGUGUGUUUAUAUAAUUUUUCUAUAUUCUAAAUUAAAAUUGAUUAAAAAAUUAAAGUAUUAAAAACUUUAUGCAUUAAGGUAAGCCAUCAUUACAUGUUAAUAUAAAUAUGUUUGAAAAAUACUUCUCAUAACAAAGUAAAACACUGACUACUUAGAGUGAUGCUGUGUUGCCUUUUUUGCAAAUCUCUGUAGUGUCUGGCUCAGAGGCGAAGCUGGACUCCCCCAUCUGCUCUGUAUCCAGCUUGCUGUGUGUCACACACCUCACCACGCAUCCUCUAGAAAGUACACCAUGUACUUGGGCAAGAAUGAGUAAAAAAGACAAUGUGUUGAUAGUGGUAUGAAAAUAGCUUUUCUCUCCCUGCAGAUCAUACACGGGGGUCGUCAGACAUGGUCUGAGACCUGCUGGGAAGAACAGCAGCCUGGCCCUGCUACCCCCUGGCUUCUGCUCACAGCACUGACCCCAGCUAAUCCAAGAACAUGUCACCUAUAAUGAGAAUAUUGAAGAAAAAUCAACCAUCUUCCAGAUGUGUCUAUAUCAUGAUACGGUACAUGGGUAAGGUAAGCUGAACACAACAUAAAAAAGAAAACUUACAAACGCUCCCUUCAUCUCAUUAAAGAUGACUCCUUUAAAGACCAAGGGCAUCUGGGGGUCGCUAGGAUUCUCAUGUUCCAGCCGCCAUCCUUCUUGCCUCAGGACAAAUAAUUAUAAGCUGACAGUGACUCAAACACUAAAGUCUGUAUCAACUAGUUAAUCACUUAUGACAUACCAGAAAUCCAGCUCACCUAAACCUGGGAAAAAGGUGGCAUCCAAAUACACUGAGAGGAGAUCCUGAAAGUCCUUGGGAUUUUGUGUGGAAAAUGCAUACAGAGUAUAAUCACUAGCUGGGUACAAAUGAAAAGUGAAAUUGUAAAAUUUAACAGAUUUCUACUAAAAUUAUUGAAUCUCAAGCCUCAUUUCCCCUUUGUCCUAGGACAGUAAGUUGUAGCUAUUCUUGAGAUGGGGCAGUGGCUCCAUGCUCUGGCCCCCGACCUCAGCAGCUGUCCCAGCUCAUCACCCUGAGUGCCAGCUUUCCCAUCUCAUCUCAGGAUCUGCACUGGACGGCACCAGGGCUUUCUUCAGCGAACAUCUAAACUCUCUCAAGUGUCUCCAGAGACUUUCACAUGUCUACAAAGAUGACCUCAUUCUGUAACAGCAUGGAUUUAACUUGCUCUUCGAUGUCACUCCUUCACAGAGUGCACUGUUCAUCGUCACCCUAUCCGCUAGCGUCAGUCUUACUAAAAGUCAAACAUCAAUGUUAGUGGUAACUCUGGAGGCCUGGCAUUGUAGUGAUAUCCCCAAGAGAAAAUUGUUUUGAACCUUUCUGGGAAAAGUUCAUGUACCUUUUAUUCAAACGCUAGUUUUUAUAAUCUCGCUACCAUGUGGCUUUCCUGAAGGAUGAAAUUUCUAAUGUCCUUCAGGUAGAGAGAGGUAAAAAGUAUUCUAGAACAUUAAUUGCCCACUCCUCUCAUCCCUUCUCAGAAACUAACUGAAUUCCAGUGGGUGUGCCUGGCAAACCCAAACACGGUUUUCCGUUCAGGAUGCUGGUCUUACCUGUGAAGGCGUUCAUGAACGUGGAGAGGUACCGGUUCAACAUUUUGAAGAAAGGGUCUCUGCAUGGGUAUUUCCGAGACCCACAAAGGAUGGUAUGCUCAAGAAUGUGAGGAACAUCGGUACUGUCCACGGGAGUGGUGCGGAACUGCACGCUAGGGAAGAAGGAACUGCACGCCAGGGAAGGGGGAGGAACAAGGAACAGAAGGCCAGCGACGGGGAGAAACAGAACGCUAGGGAAGGAGAAUGACUAGAAUACAAAACGUUCAUCUUAGUGCUGUGGACACAGUUCCCAGACGCAUCAUCACCUCGGGCUACUAGAAAUCAUUCUGACACCACAAUCCUCCAACCCAGGGUUUCCCAACUGUAAUGUAAAUCAUUGAUUCAGACUAUAAAAUUAUAUUUUGAUGAGAUUGUAAGUCCGUGUAAGCUUUUCCUUAUUUUUCAAGAUGCUCUGUCAAUAAAAAUACUAGUGAGAUGAUAUUUCAACCACGUAACAUACAGUCAGUGCUUUAAACCAAGCUUGUCUAACCCACAGCCUGCAGUCCGCAUGCUCAGGAUGGCUUGGAAUGCAUCCCAACACAAUCCCUACACUUUCUUAAAACAUUGAGGUCCUCUAUUUAUUUUUUUUUAGCUCAUCAACUGUCCUUAGUGUUAGUGUAUUUAGUGUGUGGCCUAAGACAGUUGUUCUUCUAAUGUGGCACAGGGAAGCCAAAAGAUUGGACAUCCUUGAUUUAAAUAAAACAUUCAAGACCAUGUUCUUACAAUGCACCACGUACCUGAACAGAUUGUUCGUGUCUUCUCUGGCCAGGUGUAAAUACCUGGCUCCUCUGUCAUCGUGGCUGAGCUUCAUGGCCGUCAGGAACAGCUCGGGAACAGAUGUCACCUGAGUUAACCAGAAAAACACGAGCAGUUAAAUGUAGACAAAAUAGCCGUGAAAUGGUGAUCUUCGACACACUGAGAAAACUGGCUUUUCUGCCUGAAAUUAGAUGAUACCGGGAAGCCAGUAUUUCAGAGCUGCAGAGAACAGAACCGUCCUGUCCAAGUCCCUUAUCCUACAAACAAGGAAAGUAAGACCUAAAGAAGGCAAAUGAGAAUGUGUGUGUAUAAAUGUAUAUUUUUGAGUGCUUAUUACUGGCUAGGUAUUUUCCAUUUUUUUUAUUUUUAAAUUUUUUAUUCUGUUUUGGCUAGGCAUUUUCUAAUCAUGUCACAUAGAAUCCUGUGAGGGAGGUAGUCUCAUCCUCAUUUACAGAUGAAAAAACUGAGGCUCAGGGUGAUGAAACAAGCUGCCCGAAUCAGAGCCAGGAUUCACCCUGGUGUCUGCCCUUCCCACGGUACUGUGCUGCACCUAAAUAACACAGCACCCUUUCCAACGCCUGCUGAGUGCCUCCUGCUUUUGUGUACUGCACCUCAGUAACACAGCACCCCUUCCAACAUCGGCUGUGUGCCUCCUGUUUCUGUGCAUAUAAUCUCCUGUAGUGCGAAGCACGGGCCUGCAGGAGGGGCAAUGCUGGAGUGGGCUACCGGCGACAGUGGGGAGAGGGUCCAGGAUCAGCCUUGCUUCUCCUAGUUUGGGAUGGAUUCUCGGUGGUAGCUGUAAGCACAAAGCUGGGGCUUCCAGAAGAGCUGGAGGGGCUGGGAGGAUAGAAAUGCCCCCCAAAAAGAUGAAAGACUCCCCACUCCUGGGGCAGGGUGGAAGGUCUUCUCCUACCUUAGGCAAGCCUCCUGGUAAGUGUCCAUACUCUUUGGUAUGAAAGAAACUGUCUUCUCUUCCAGUCAUGCCAGCCGACCCAGCCCUCUCCCUCAAUCACAUACCAUGUCCCUGUGAUCACCACAACACGUGCCACCCCCUCCGUCCAGGUGCCAUGAGUCACCUGGCCAAGCGCACACAGCAAGUCGCUGGCAGAGGUGAGACCUCGGGUCUCCUCAGCCCAAUCUAGGGAGCCUGCCAUCCAACAGUCAUGCAUAAAGCGGCCCACUAUGACCUGCAUCAUCUACCGCUGUUAAAUUACUUGUUUCCAAGCUUACCGUACUUUGUAUCAGAUGAUCAAUGCAUUUAAAAUCAGCAGAUACAGUGAGAUGUCUGCUUUCUAAUAAUAUAUAGCUUUAAUAAUAAUAGCGUUCAUGGUAGCUAUUUCUCAAACAAGAAACAUGACUUAUCGUAAGUUUCUAUGGCUGGACACAGUGGCUCACACCUUUAAUCCCAGCACUUUGGAAGGCCAAGGUGAUAUGGUUUGGCCUCGUCCCCACCCAAAUCUCAUCUUGAAUUGUAGUUCCCAUAAUCUCCACAUGUUGUGGGAGGGACCUGGUAGGAGGUAAUUGAAUCAUUAGGGGGGUUCCCCCAUGUUAUUCUCAUGACAGUGAGUAUGUUCUCACGAGAUCUGAUGGUUUUAUAAGGGGCUUCCCCCUUCACUUGUCAUUCUCUUCCAUACCACCCUGUGAAGAGGUGCCUUCCACCAUGAUUGUAAGUUUCCUGAGGCCUCCCCAGCCAUGCAGAACUGUGAGUCAAUUAAACCUCUUUACUUUUUAGCUCAUUCAUUAUAAAUUAUCCAGUCUUGGGUAUUUCUUCAUAGCAGUGUGAGAUUAGACUAAUACACAAGACAAGAGGAUUGCCUGAACUCAGGAGUUUGAGACCAGCCUAGACAACAAAGUUUCC